GUUCAGCACUAAGUCACUUUGUCUUUAUGGCAAAUGUGAGAUGCAGUGUAUGGAAUGUCAAAUUUCUAGUAUGAGAAAUUAACGAUUUAAGUCCUUCUUAAAUGAGGCCAUUUACCCAAAGAGGGUGCCAGGCCCGUAUAACGUUAAUGAUUACUAGAUGGCAUUUCCAAAGAGUCGUGUUGCUUGAUAGUGCAGCACUAAGUGGGUGGUAAACUCCAUCUAAAACUAAAUAUAACCAUGAGACCGAUAGUAAACAAGUACCGUGAGGGAAAGUUGAAAAGAACUCUGAAUAGAGAGUUAAAUAGUACGUGAAACUGCUUAGAGGUUAAGCCCGAUGAACCUGAAUAUCCAUUAUGGAAAAUUCAUCAUUAUGAAUGUGGUAUUUAAAAAAUAUUAUUAUUAAUGGUGUGCAUUUUUUCCAUAAAAGGACAUUGUAAUCUAUUAACAUAUUAACAAAUUUAUCAUAAGAUCAAUGAUGCGUAAGUUUAUUCAAAUUAUUUUGCUUGCAAUUUAACAUAGAAUAAAUGCUCUUGAUUUGAUAAAGUGUUGAUAGAUUUAUUAUAUAUAGUGCUUAAAUAUAUUUAUAUAUUUUAUAAUAGCAUAUUAAUCAUUGAUUUUUAUGUUUAUUAUAUGCACUUAUAUGAUUAACAAUGCGAAAGAUUCAGGAUACCUUCGGGACCCGUCUUGAAACACGGACCAAGGAGUCUAACAUAUUUGCAAGUUAUUGGGUAUAUAUAAACCUAAUAGCAUAAUUAACAUAACUUUAUUAUAAUGGGAUUAGUUUUUAGAUCUAUUUGUAUGAAUAGUCUAUUAAUUCAAUCCCGGGGCGUUCUAUACAGUUAUGUAUAAUAAUAUUUAUAUUAUUUAUACCUCUAACUAGAGCGUACCUUGAGCAUAUAUGCUGUGACCCGAAAGAUGGUGAACUAUACUUGAUCAGGUUGAAGUCAGGGGAAACCCUGAUGGAAGACCGAAACAGUUCUGACGUGCAA
rnacentral:rRNA from 1 species